AGAGUUUGAUCAUGGCUCAGAACGUACGCUGGCGGCACGCCUAACACAUGCAAGUCGAACGAAGUAGCAAUACUUAGUGGCAGACGGGUGAGUAACAUGUGGGUAUCUGCCCUUUGGCCUGGAAUAACACGAGGAAACUUGUGCUAAUACCGGAUAAGUCUUUACGGAGAAAGCUUUAUGCACCAUUGGAUGAGCCCGCACUUGAUUAGUUUGUUGGUGGGGUAAUGGCCUACCAAGACUGUGAUCAAUAGCUGAUUUGAGAGGAUGAUCAGCCACAUUGGGACUGAGACACGGCCCAAACUCCUACGGGAGGCAGCAGUGGGGAAUCUUGCACAAUGGAGGAAACUCUGAUGCAGCGAUGCCGCGUGAGUGAAGAAGGCCUUUGGGUUGUAAAGCUCUUUCGUCGGGGAAGAAAAUGACUGUACCCGAAUAAGAAGGUCCGGCUAACUUCGUGCCAGCAGCCGCGGUAAUACGAAGGGACCUAGCGUAGUUCGGAAUUACUGGGCUUAAAGAGUUCGUAGGUGGUUGAAAAAGUUGGUGGUGAAAUCCCAGAGCUUAACUCUGGAACUGCCAUCAAAACUUUUCAGCUAGAGUAUGAUAGAGGAAAGCAGAAUUUCUAGUGUAGAGGUGAAAUUCGUAGAUAUUAGAAAGAAUACCAAUUGCGAAGGCAGCUUUCUGGAUCAUUACUGACACUGAGGAACGAAAGCAUGGGUAGCGAAGAGGAUUAGAUACCCUCGUAGUCCAUGCCGUAAACGAUGUGUGUUAGACGUUGGAAAUUUAUUUUCAGUGUCGCAGCGAAAGCGAUAAACACACCGCCUGGGGAGUACGACCGCAAGGUUAAAACUCAAAUGAAUUGACGGGGACCCGCACAAGUAGUGGAGCAUGUGGUUUAAUUCGAAGAUACGCGCAGAACCUUACCAACACUUGACAUGUUCGUCGCGACUCUAAGAGAUUAGAGUUUUCGGUUCGGCCGGACGAAACACAGGUGCUGCAUGGC
rnacentral:rRNA from 1 species